ACUCAGAAUGAGCAGAAAAUUCUUUUGUAUUUGCGGUCAGCUAUCCAGAUAAGUCAGUCAUCCCAAAGAUAAUUUGGAAUCCCUUGUCAUCUCAAAGUAGUCCAUUAUCUGGGAAAGGGAUGGAGAGUGCUGUGAUACUGAAACUAUUUUCCUGACUGCUGUUCUGGCCCACUGUCAUUUCAUACCUAUUGACCAAUAAGAUAUUAGAAGUAUUAAAAGCUACAGCACUGAAAGCUGAAAAGAGUAAAGAGAGUUUCACAUGUAAGAUAAGGAAUGUGUUCCUAAUGUGAAUGGGAAGGUAUGAAUGAGGAGGUGCACUGCAUCAAGAAAGAUGGCCCUGGUGUAACGCUUCCUGGCAGGUUGGAUGUCACUCUUGGGGGCUCCUCUUUCAAUUGCACAGGCCUCAGUGGUCGCAUGUUUGGCACUGGUGAAGGAAGAGCUAGGUUGAACUGCAUACUACAGUGAUGUGUCUGGCACCUUGAGGAUGAUUUAGGGAGGGUAAGUAAAACACUUUUGCCUGUCAUGAAAAGGACAGAUCACGAUCAGUCUGUCACAUAUAAUUUGACAAUUUGCAAUGCUUGAACAACGGGAGGCCAAGGAACAUAUUUCAAACAUUGCUACUGAUAGAAGAGUUUUACAGUAGCUCCCAAUUUCUAUGCUGAAUAAAAGUCCUGAUUAAAAACAGUGGUAUAAUAGAUGGCCAUGAAGACUUGGUGCACUGGAACCAAAGGAGUUGCCUGAUUAGUUUUGGUCUUCAAGUUGAUAAUUUUUUAACAUGCAUGGGAAAUCAACUUCUAUGCUCCAAGGAUCAAGCAAGCAAGCAGGUGUGCUUCUUGGCAACUGAGAAUGAUACAGUGAAAAAAAAAGAGAAUAUUUCUACACAAAUUGCCAGCUAUGAUUUUAAGUAAAGCAAUGGCAGUAUGUGUCAGAUAUCUGAACACUAAAAUAAGAAUGUAAAAGUUUCAUCUUCUUUUGAAAUUUCUCAAAGGAACUUUAAAAAGUGCCCUGUCUCUACUUCUUGGAGAUAAUGGCCAUCUUCAAAGUGGAAAAUGUCAUAUGCUGUUGAUACAACAUUUAUUGGACAUAUGAGAAAUCACAUCAUAAAUAAAUAUCUUUCCACUGAGCCACCAUUUUAUGUUGUUUGAUAUACAGAAAAGCUGGGAAGUUGAGAAGAAAAAGGAGAUAAAGAAGAUGAAAACAAUUUUACUCAUGUGAUGACAAAAAUGACAUCCCUCAAAAAAAAAAAAAAGCCCCCCAAACCCAACCUGAGUGCAUCACAAAGCCUAUACCUUAGAAAGGAUGAAAAACAGCAAAACUGUUGCUGUUAGAGUGGAUCAAGCAAGGGUACAGUGAGCUUUCUGCUAAUUAAUUUAAAUUGUGGUUUUAUUCUGAAAACCAUGGCAUAGGAUUUCACACUGAUUAUCUCCCCAUAGUUUCCACAUAAAGUAUGCUCUGCAUACCAGUAAACAGUUCAUUAUUUCUCUUGUCCUACAAAGACUUGGAAGCACAGCUUGCCCUCUGAAAAGCAAGCCAAGUCUUCUGUUUCUUGUGAAUAAUCACCAGUUAGAGACUGAACCUGCUCUGUGUCACACAUAUACACCAGCAUUGCCUGUGAGUGGAUGACUGGAACAAUUCCAUUUGCAAUGAAAAAGAAGGAUGAACGAAAUCUCCUUCAUUGUCUUCCAAGUCGAUGCAGUGCGAAUCCCUCCUAACUUGUAGAAUUUGAGGCAGAGGAAAAGCAAGAACAGAAUUGAUUCUGCAGAAAAGGAAGCAGCUGCUACUGCACUCUGGUGAACACAUUUGUAAAGGUUUCCAUUUUUAUGUAGAAUGGCAGGCUACUGGAAAGAGGAAGAAGCCUUGUCUGAUCAUUUCUCCAAAACCUGUUCAACUGCAAUGCAAUAUUCCAAUUUCUUGAUAUAUCAAAAUGAUUUUGAGAAGAGACUCUGCUGCUGGUGUUGUGCUACAUCUUCAGGCAUCUUCAUCUAGUUCUCUGUGGAGCAGCUGGAGAGAAAAUAAUCUCUGUUCUUGAUGAAUAGUUUGGAUUCUGAAGCAGGCUUUUGUAGUUCCCUGUGGUCUCUUUGAAUUAUCAAUUUUUAAAAAUUAUCUUAUUAUUCAGUGAACACAAUGGGCCUCCCAGCUUGGUUCCAUCUACAUAACUAACACGCAUACUUUCUACUCUAUCAUCUAGGCUCAGAAUGAAAAUUUUAAAUGGUACUGGGCCCAGGAAGCAAGAACUCCUCUUACUCCACAACAUAGGUCGACACGGAAUGCUAAUAACUAUGCUGAUUAAAAUUUCAGUUAGGCAUCAACUGCAUUAAGAUAUACGGUUUGCAAUUUUUUUCCUGUCUCUAUAUCUUCUAACCUACAUGUAGAAGGAAAUCUUUUCAAUUUGACAUAUGUCAGACAUUCUAAGCUCAUGUGCUAUCAUAGUCACAGUACAGUCAGUGUAUAUGUUCAUUUCUUCUUUGCACAACUAUGGCAGUUUUACUGUAAGAAGUACUGCAAUUUUUGGAGAAGAUCUGUGGUCACAUUAACACACAAACUUGCUGUUCAUCAUGCAAGUAUAUUUCUGCUGCAGGCUCCCAAAGCUAAACUACCCUUUCCAGCUUUUACCAGAGCUAACAUAAGAACAGAAAACCAUUGGGUUAAAAUAAAACUCCACGUUACCCUGCUGAUGCUGGAAGUAUCAAAGACUGGAAAAGUGUAAGAUCAGGUCAAGCUUUAAUGAUUCUAUUCCUGAAUACCUGGCUUGUCUCCAGCAGCAGACAGCUCAGAGAUUUUCUACGCCAGGCCUGGCAGCAUCCCGAGGCAAAGAGUUACAUGGUUUGGCUGCACAUCACUGGUUAGCUAACAGCCUCCUGUAUUUGUGUAGAACCUGAUAUAUUCUAGCUUCAUUUAACAUUGUUUUUUCCCCUCUUACUGGAAGUAGAAAUUAGUAAUUGAUCCAAACUCACCUUCCCUGUAUUUGAUAGAUACAUACGAUAUUCUUCCCUAGUCAUCUCUUGCCAGGCUGAAGUGCCCUAGCCUAAUUCAUUGUACCUUGCAUGGAUACCUUUCCAAUCUACUGAUCAUCCUUCCCUACUUGUUACUAUAAGUAUAUCUUUCCUGGAUAUCAGGAAGGAUGAAACAGGAUGGUACAUAAGAGUUCAAAAUAUGCGCACAUCAGAGAUUUGUGGAAUGGCAUAAAAAAUCUUUCUGCCAGUUGUCCAUUCUUUGUCAUCAGAAAGUUUCAGAGGAGAAUUGGAACAGGUUGCCCAGAGAUGGGGGAUGCCUCAUUCUUGGAGACGUUCAGGAUCAGGCUGGCUGGGGCUCCGAGCAACCUGAUCUGGCUGUGGGUAUCCCUGUUCACUGCCGGGAAAUUGGCCUGGAUGACCCCAAAAAGUUCCUUUCAACUCAAAUGAUUCUAUGAUUCUAUAGCUGUCUGAAGCCUCUUGGCUCUUCUGUCAUUGUAGAAUUGGCCCUGUUGGUGUUAAUAUGAGUCAGAGGUUUAUAAUUCUUAGGCUCAUCUGCUGGAGAUACUAUUAGUUGAAAAAUUAAAAUUUUAUCAGUAAGUAGGAUUGUGGCCUUCAAACUUUGGAACUCUCAAACAAUAAUAAUAAUAAUAAUAAUUAUUAUUAUAAAAAUUGCAGCCCUCAAACUGUUUCUGAGAAAGAAAUAGGUCUAGAAAUCAAAAAGAAAGGUAAAAUUGAUGUUUUUUUUUUUUUUUUUUUUUGUUAAAGGGUUUAUCAUUUAGCUAGUUUCUGAGGAAGUAGUUUCUGAGGGGCAAAUAGAUGUUUCAAGGCUUCACACACAGUCAUAAUACAUAUGUAAUCAUCUCAAUCAUCUUAGUGUAUUUACCAAGUUCCAUCUUGAAACCUCAGAGGUGCUUUUAACACCCAGUAAUAAUAUAGACAGAGCUAGAAAUCUAUUGAUGAUUAAGAACUUUCUAUCUUACAUUAAUUACUGUCCAUUUUACACCACAGCCUUCUCUCUCUAUUGAUGGAGAAUAAUAUGCUUUCUCAUUAGUUAUUUCCCUGUAGUAAAACACAGGCCAUGUUUUCUGUCUUCUCUUACUUACUUGACUCUCCAUUACUUUGAUCUAGAAUUUUUCUCCUCCCAUUCCAACUUGAAUAAUUCUAUAGAUAAGUAGAACAGUGCUACCAGUGCUAUUUCAGACUGGUAGACUCUUCUGAGAUAUCCCUUACUCAAAAAGCUCUCCAACAAUGGCCUUACCAUUGAAGUAAUAUCUACUGGAAAUAUUUCACAAGAUGCAGUCUAUAAUUACAGACUUUUUAAUCUUAUUUCCUAGCUUCACAAUGCUGUAUUUUCUCAUCCUGAGGUGAACUAAUUCUCUAAGUUCACUCACCCUUUCUUUUGUUUCAUUCACUUUGAAGUGGGGUUAGUGGAAACAUUCUAUGAAGCCUUGAAUAAAGAUUUUAUGGAUAAGGAAUGUUAGUAAAGUCUGAUAACUCUUACAUAAAUUUCAUUUGACUAACAUAAAGUAAUUCAAUUCUUCAUGUGAUUCUCUUUCCAAGAAAUUAGAUUGAUUUAAUCUCCUUAUCAUAUAAACAUGAUUAUCUAAAAAUCCCAUUGUAUUGGUUCAAUAAAGUGCAAAA
rnacentral:lncRNA from 1 species